AACGCACCUUGCGCUCCUUGGUAUUCCGAGGAGCAUGCCUGUUUGAGUGUCAUUAAAUUCUCAACCUCUCCAGCUUUUUGGCUGGGUGAGGAUUGGAUGUGGGGGUGUGCUGGCUUCCUUAAAAGAGGUCGGCUCCCCUUAAAUGCAUCAGCGAUGGACCCUUGCUGGGAGAAGUGGCUCGUGGUGUAAUACUUGUUUUGUUCACCUCGUCGCCGGCUUUGUCUCGCGGGCUUCUGUUCGGCGCUUCGAAACCCCAGAGUCGUCUUCGGACGGCCACUUGACAAUCUGACCUCAAAUCAGGUAGGACUACCCGCUGAACUUAA
rnacentral:rRNA from 1 species